AAUUAGGGUUUUUGUUUGGUUGGACUUCUAGAACCGUUGGAGAGAGAACGUGUUUUAUUUAUGAGAAAAGUGAAUUUCAAUUUUUAUCUUUCAAAUGUUUUUCUUUUUGUUUUUUAACAAUAGAAUUUCUUUUAAUUUAAAUAUUCAAUAUUGUUUUAAUAAAAUAUUUUAUUUAAUAAGUAAAUAAUAAAACAUUGUCCAGUGGAUUUAUAAAAUGAGAUGGGUGGAUUGAAUCCAUCCAUAUGGUUUGAUGGAUGGAUUGGAUCAAAUCCA
rnacentral:lncRNA from 1 species